UACCAGCACCCCGAGUGGUCGGGACGUUUAUUGGGCCUAAAGCAUCCGUAGCCGGUUCUACAAGUCUUCCGUUAAAUCCAGCUGCUUAACAGAUGGGCUGCGGAAGAUACUAUGGAGCUAGGAGGCGGGAGAGGCAAGCGGUACUCGAUGGGUAGGGGUAAAAUCCGUUGAUCCAUUGAAGACCACCAGUGGCGAAGGCGGCUUGCCAGAACGCGGCUCGACGGUGAGGGAUGAAAGCUGGGGGAG
rnacentral:rRNA from 1 species